UUUCCGUAGGUGAACCUGCGGAAGGAUCAUUAAAGUUAUAGUCCCCCGGCCCUCUGGGCUGGGGUCUUCUAUACCACCCUUUGUUUAUUACACCUUUGUUGCUUUGGCAGGCCUGCCCUCGGGCUGCUGGCUCCGGCCAGCUCGCGUCUGCCAGAGGACCUAAACUCUGUUUGUAUAUGAAGUCUGAGUACUAUAUAAUAGUUAAAACUUUCAACAACGGAUCUCUUGGUUCUG
rnacentral:misc_RNA from 1 species